UAUUGGUCAAUGGACGCAAGUCUGAACCAGCCAUGCCGCGUGAAGGAUUAAGGUCCUCUGGAUUGUAAACUUCUUUUAUCUGGGACGAAAAAAGGGCAUUCUUGCUCACUUGACGGUACCAGAUGAAUAAGCACCGGCUAACUCCGUGCCAGCAGCCGCGGUAAUACGGAGGGUGCAAGCGUUAUCCGGAUUCACUGGGUUUAAAGGGUGCGUAGGCGGGCAGUUAAGUCAGUGGUGAAAUCCUUGAGCUCAACUCGAGAACUGCCAUUGAUACUAUCUGUCUUGAAUAUUGUGGAGGUAAGCGGAAUAUGUCAUGUAGCGGUGAAAUGCUUAGAUAUGACAUAGAACACCUAUUGCGAAGGCAGCUUACUACGCAUAUAUGACGCUAGCACGGAGCUG
rnacentral:rRNA from 1 species